GGGGAUUUAGCUCAGUGGUAGAGCACUUGCCUAGCAAGCACAAGGCCCUGGGUUCGGUUCCCAGCUCA
rfam:Rattus norvegicus chromosome 5, whole genome shotgun sequence.